rnacentral:lncRNA from 1 species
GGGUAUGUGAACAAUAAAGAGAAACUUAAAAGUGAAUGCACUGCUUCAGAAAGACCAGACUUCCAAGCCCCCGAAUGGUGGCACCACUGUCCCCCAAUACUUUUGUUACUACUUGCCAUUUGUUUUGCCCCUUGUUCCUAUUUUGAAUAAGAACCCAUUGCUCUCCAGAAGUAAAAGCAAUGUGACCAUUUGUUUAUUUACUCCCUGCACCAAGACCCAGGGUGAUGAGGCUGGAUUGCACAUGGGGCGUGGGCAUCAGAAACUGGAAAGUCUCACCCUGCCCAGCCUGUCUGGCUCGUAUGCUUGGGCAAGUCACAUAGCUCCUGUGGGACUCCGUUUCCUCACCCAGUGAUAAUGACCGGCUUCACAGGGUGGCUGCGGAGCUUAAUUAAGGAUUGAGAAGGAGGCAGAAAAUACAAAGUGCAGCAUACACGCAAAUUUCCCAUAUUUAUUUUUGGGCUCAGUAACCUGUUGGUAGGAGGUGUUUAUGACCUGGAAGAGGAGUCUAGCAAGAGAUGUAACUAGCUAUUCUCAUUCCAAAAUGGUUCACUUGGUAUUGACUGGGAAAUGGGCCAUGUCAUUCUUGCUUUUGUUCGAGUACAUUCUGUGGCCCUUCCUGCUAACUUUCUGGGUAUAGCUUGCCAACUCUAGGCCUCAGUUUUCUUGUAUAAGGACUUUAUCUAUCUUUCCUUUAUGCUCAGAUAUGCUGUGAUGGCUUAAGCUUUUUCCUUAGUGCUUAUACCCUUAAGCCGCACUCAGAUAGAAGACAGAGGGAAGGCAUACACGUUUGUGAGUGACCCCAUGGGGUAGUUCCCUGAGCCAGAAAAGACAGAGACUUAUGAAGCCCUGCAUAGGUGACACCCGAAAUCUGCCUGGCUUUGCGGAUCCUGGCCUUUCUUCUAAGUGCUUGGAAGACCUUGGCAGAUUCAGCCAGCGUUUUGAUCACUGCCAGAGCCUGCAGCUUUGUUGCUAAUUGUUUGCUGAAUGAAUUGAGCAAAAGCACAACUGGUCCCAAGGCAGGAGUGAGGAGGUGAGGGAAAGACAGAAAAACAAACCAGAAGAGAGGACUGGGUGACUGCCUUGGAAAAUCUUAUUAUUACUAGUACAUUUUUUUGUCUUUUAAUCACAAAGGCUGUCUCUGCACUAGGACUAAAGAACCAGAACUGUUCAGAAAGAGAGAAGAGCCCAGCACCUUAUACUCAGGAGAUACUGAAAAACAUCAUAUAAGGUGUUUACUGUUGAGAGAAAAGUACACAUCAGAGGAUGCCCAUUAUUGAUAUAGAGCCUUCUCUGUAUCUGGAUGAACGUGACCAGGAAGCCACCCUCAGCCUGCUGCAGCUGUUUUCAGAAUCUGUGGGAUCACACCCCAGAGGCAGUUGGGUCAGCCGCAGGCAUCAGGCCCUCUCCAUGACAACUG